rnacentral:rRNA from 1 species
UACAGGGGGGGCAAGCGUUGUUCGGAAUUACUGGGCGUAAAGGGCCAGUAGGCGGCCAACUAAGUCCGACGUGAAAUCCCCAGGCUUAACCUGGGAACUGCGUCGGAUACUGGAUGGCUUGAAUUCGGGAGAGGGAUGCAGAAUUCCAGGUGUAGCGGUGAAAUGCGUAGAUAUCCGGAAGAACACCGGUGGCGAAGGCGGCCUGCUGGGCAGUAGCUGGACGCUGAUGCGCGACAGCGUGGGGAGCAA